GCCUACAGCCAUACCACCCUGAACGCGAACAAUCUUGUCUGAUCUAGGAAGCUAAGCAGGGUUGGGCCUGGUUAGUACGUGGAUGGGAGACCACCUGGGAUCCCGGGUGCUGUAGGUU
ensembl:rRNA 5S_rRNA 5S ribosomal RNA